GCUCCCGUUGCUCAGUUGGUAGAGUAGUGGGACGGUACCCUACGGUUCCGGGUUCAAGUCCCGGCGGUUGCU